UACGUAGGUGGCAAGCGUUGUCCGGAAUUAUUGGGCGUAAAGCGCGCGCAGGCGGUUCUUUAAGUCUGAUGUGAAAGCCCACGGCUCAACCGUGGAGGGUCAUUGGAAACUGGAGAACUUGAGUACAGAAGAGGAAAGCGGAAUUCCACGUGUAGCGGUGAAAUGCGUAGAGGUGUGGAGGAACACCAGUGGCGAAGGCGGCUUUCUGGUCUGUAACUGACGCUGAGGCGCGAAAGCGUGGGGAGCAAACAGA
rnacentral:rRNA from 1 species